GAACCUGUAAUGUCAUUAGCUGCACAGCCAGUUUCAAAAGAUUCUGGAGGGCAAUUUUCAAAAGCUUUGAAUCGCUUCCAGAAAGAGGAUCCUACAUUCCGUUUUGGUUUAGACCCAGAGAGUGGGCAGUUUGUCAAUUUCAAUUUUUAUUCCUUUCCCCUCGUGCUAUGGUUGUUGAUUCAAUACGAACUCUUGAUCCUAUUAACACUUGGCCAGACAAAAAGGCCUAUAAUGAGACACUCUUGAAGCUUGCUGGGUUGUUUCAGAGGAAUCUUGAGACAUUCACCAAUCACAAGAUUGACAAGGACAACAAACUCACUGAAGAGAUUUUGGCAGCUGGACCAGUGUUUUAAAAAUGGAGAAUGCAUGCUGUGUUAAAGUGGGGGUGGCUGGGAUUCAAGAUUAUUAUUAUUAAGAAAUAUAUAUAUAUAUAUUGCAUUUCUAAUAAUAAUUUUGAUUUCAUUGGUUUGGUUUUAGGCAUAUGUAAAGUUGGAGUGUUGUUACAUUUCUAAAUUUUUCACAUGAAUGGACUUCACUGCUUCUCAUUCUACUGUC